rnacentral:rRNA from 1 species
UACGUAGGGGGCGAGCGUUGUCCGGAUUUAUUGGGCGUAAAGAGCUCGUAGGCGGCUUGGCAAGUCGGGUGUGAAACCUCCAGGCUCAACCUGGAGACGCCACUCGAUACUGCUAUGGCUAGAGUCCGGUAGGGGACCACGGAAUUCCUGGUGUAGCGGUGAAAUGCGCAGAUAUCGGGAGGAACACCAGUGGCGAAGGCGGCUAUCUGGGUCGAUACUGACGCUGAGGUGCGAAAGCGUGGGGAGCAAACAGG